UGUUGUUUUAAAAAAUAUGUUUGUUUUUUGUUUUUAUUGGUUCCCAAGAUUAAACUGUUACAUAUAUACAAAGCCGUGAUACAUACGGCUUAAAGUAAUAUGGCUACAUGAUGUACAGGUGAG